UACGUAGGGUGCGAGCGUUAAUCGGAAUUACUGGGCGUAAAGCGUGCGCAGGCGGUGACCCAAGUCAGAUGUGAAAUCCCCGGGCUUAACCUGGGAACUGCGUAUUGAACUAGUGGCUAGAGUAUGGCAGAGGGGGGUAGGAAUUCCACGUGUAGCAGUGAAAUGCGUAGAGAUGUGGAGGAACUACCGAUGGCGAAGGCAGCCCCUGGGUCAACACUGACGCUCAUGCACGAAAGCGUGGGGAGCAAACAGGAUUAG
rnacentral:rRNA from 1 species